rnacentral:rRNA from 1 species
UACGGAGGGGGCUAGCGUUGUUCGGAAUUACUGGGCGUAAAGCGCGCGUAGGCGGACCUGCAAGUCGGGGGUGAAAGCCCGGGCUCAACCUCGGAACUGCCUUCGAUACUGCGGGUCUCGAGUCCGGGAGAGGUGAGUGGAAUUCCUAGUGUAGAGGUGAAAUUCGUAGAUAUUAGGAAGAACACCAGUGGCGAAGGCGGCUCACUGGCCCGGUACUGACGCUGAGGCGCGAAAGCGUGGGGAGCAAACAGG